UAGGGAAUCUUCCACAAUGGGCGAAAGCCUGAUGGAGCAACGCCGCGUGAGUGAGGAAGGCUUUCGGGUCGUAAAGCUCUGUUGCCAGGGAAGAAUAAGGAUCAUUUAACUGAUGAUCCGAUGACGGUACCUGAGAAGAAAGCCCCGGCUAACUACGUGCCAGCAGCCGCGGUAAUACGUAGGGGGCAAGCGUUGUCCGGAAUUAUUGGGCGUAAAGCGCGCGCAGGCGGCUCUUUAAGUCUGGUGUUUAAGUGCGGGGCUCAACCCCGUGACGCACUGGAAACUGGGGAGCUUGAGUGCAGAAGAGGAGAGCGGAAUUCCACGUGUAGCGGUGAAAUGCGUAGAGAUGUGGAGGAACACCAGUGGCGAAGGCGGCUCUCUGGACUGUAACUGACGCUGAGGCGCGAAAGCGUGGGGAGCAAACAGGAUUAGAUACCCUGGUAGUCCACGCCGUAAACGAUGAGUGCUAGGUGUUGGGGGUAUCAUGCCCUCGGUGCCGAAGUUAACACAUUAAGCACUCCGCCUGGGGAGUACGGUCGCAAGACUGAAACUUAAAUGAAUUGACGGGGUCAUAGCU
rnacentral:rRNA from 1 species